AUGAACUUCCUGAUGUUCAAGCUGAUUUUAGAAAAGGCAGAGGAACCAGAGAUCAAAUUGCCAACAUCCGCUGGAUCAUGGAAAAAGCAAGAGUUCCAGAAAAACAUCUAUUUAUCCUUUACUGACUAUGCCAAAGCCUUUGACUGUGUGGAUCACAAUAAACUGUGGAAAAUUCUGAAAGAGAUGGGAAUACCAGACCACCUGACCUGCCUCUUGAGAAAUCUGUAUGCAGGUCAGGAAGCAACAGUUAGAACUGGACAUGGAACAACAGACUGGUUCCAAAUAGGAAAAGGAGUACGUCAAGGCUGUAUAUUGUCACCCUGCUUCUUUAACUUCUAUGCAGAUUACAUCAUGAGAAAUGCUGGGCUGGAAGAAGCACAAGCUGGAAUCAAGAUUGCCGGGAGAAAUAUCAAUAACCUCAGAUAUGCAGAUGACACCACCCUUAUGGCAGAGAGUGAAGAGGAACUAAAAAGCCUCUUGAUGAAAGUGAAAGAGGAGAGUGAAAAAGUUGGCUUAAAGCUCAACAUUCAGAAAACGAAGAUCAUGGCACCUGGUCCCAUCACUUCAUGGCAAAUAGAUGGGGAAACAGUGGAAACAGUGUCAGACUUUAUUUUUUUGGGCUCCAAAAUCACUGCAGAUGGUGAUUGCAGCCAUGAAAUUAAAAGAUGCUUACUCCUUGGAAGAAAAGUUAGGACCAACCUAGAUAGCAUAUUCAAAAGCAGAGACAUUACUUUGCCGACUAAGGUCCAUCUAGUCAAGGCUAUGGUUUUUCCAGUAGUCAUGUAUGGAUGUGAGAGUUGGACUGUGAAGAAGGCUGAGCGCCAAAGAAUUGAUGCUUUUGAACUGUGGUGUUGGAGAAGACUCUUGAGAGUCCCUUGGACUGCAAGGAGAUCCAACCAGUCCAUUCUGAAGGAGAUCAGCCCUGGGAUUUCUUUGGAAGGAAUGAUGCUAAAGCUGAAACUCCAGCACUUUGGCCACCUCAUCCGAAGACUUGACUCAUUGGAAAAUACUUUGAUGCUGGGAGGGAUUGGGGGCAGGCAGAGAAGGGGACGACCGACGAUGAGGUGGCUGGAUAGCAUCACUGACUCGAUGGAUGUGAAUCUGAGUGAACUCUGGGAGUUGGUGAUGGAUGAGGAGGCCUGGCACACUGCAAUUCAUGGGGUCACAAGGAGUCUGACACGACUGAGAGACUGA
rnacentral:lncRNA from 1 species